GGCAGCAGCUGCAAAAUGGCUGCGUCUUGCUAAGAGGCACUGAGCUGGAAGACGUUGCAAAGAUAUUCAGAUACUUUCGGAAGUCCUUGAUGAAAACUUAACUAGAACAGGAUGAAAUCCAGUAAGACCCUCAGUUCUUCAGUAAGAUGUGUUUCUUUCCAGGCCAGCCCAAGAGAGGAGUCUUAGAGAAAUAAAAAUGAAGUGGCUAAGGAGUCCCAUUUAGACAUCGUGCUUUCUUCUCGUCUCUUCAGUCGCCCUUAGACAGCUCUGCCCGCCUUCAGACUGACUUACGUGUUCAGACUGCCAGACUUGCUGGAGUCAAAUCCAAGGGGAAUAACAUGAACUCCAUUAACCCCGACGCAUAGUCUGAUUCUCCCACGUGCCAAAAUCCUUAGAGGCUCUAUCUGUCUGAGGGCCAACUUGCAUACCGAGGGUCAGAAAAACUUGAAAAUUAAAAUUGUUUCAGGCAACCAGGGCCUAAUGGAAGUCAUCGCUCCCUCGAUCUCCUUCAGCAGUGGACAGGAUCUAGGAACUCAUGUCUCUGGGAAGAUAAAGAAUAUCAUUAAACUUAAUAGACUGGUAGCACAUGCUUAAUCUUUUGGAACAUUUUCAACAUAUGCGGUGUUGGAAAACCAGAAGCUCAUUAAGAACAUGUGGUGCCUACCUCCUUGACAUGAAAUUUCUGCCUCCUCUCCUCCCUCCAUUUCCCACUCUCUGAAGGGCUCUAGAAGUCUGAUUUUUGCGAACCUGUAUGUAAGUCAUUUCUAAUACAUCUGAAUUGUCCCAAUAAAUUAAACUAGUCUAACUUUAUGUGCUCUAACUCAUGUGGAAGGACUAGGUCUUUUAGUUUGUAACUUUAAUGAUACUAAAGUUCUGAACAAAGACCGAGAAAGAUUUAGAUCUUAUUUGGAU